rnacentral:rRNA from 1 species
UACGUAGGGGGCGAGCGUUGUCCGGAGUACUGGGCGUAAAGCGCACGCAGGCGGUGCUGCGCGUUGGGGUUACAGCUCCCGGCUCAACCGGGAGAGCGCCUCGAAGACGGCAGCACUUGAGGGCCAGAGGGGGACACGGAACUCCGGGUGGAGUGGUGAAAUGCGUAGAUAUCCGGAAGAACACCAAAGGCGAAGGCAGUGUCCUGGCUGGUACCUGACGCUCAGGUGCGAAAGCUAGGGGAGCGAACGGG